AUGAUAAUGAUGAUGAUGUUUGUAGGAAUCACGAUUUCUGUGAUUUAUGACUCAUGCUGUGUAGGGCGUCUCGUAUUUUUAUCAGAGCGAUGUCAUUUUUCACAGUUUUGGUCGCUCAGCUUUCACGGGCAGUUUCCCUUCCCAAGCUCCAGAGGUUUACAGUGAAAACUGCGAACGCUAUCUUCACAAACAGCGACAGACGGGCCAAUCGGGGCGGGGACGUCACAAACGCGCUCGAGUCAUGCGGAGCCGCCGCCACGGAGGCGCUCGGCUCCCUCCAGUGGACACGCAGCGGUACUGCAGUCGGGAGGCGCUGGAAGAUUAUUUGAUGAAUUCCUUACCGAUGCGGCUAUCUCGUGGAGAGAAAGUGGAACGGUUACGUCAUGUCCUAAACAAUCUGAUUGGAUAAAAGACAAGUCACAAAUUAAAUGACUUCUGAUUGGCGAACGCAGUUAGCGAAUCAAAAGUUAGAAAUGCGUUACCUAAUUUGUAUAGACCCUAUGGCUGUCCAACGUGCGCACCUGUUUAAAAAUAUACAUUUAUUAUUAAUAAAACAUUUUUUAGUACACGUGUCCACGUCAGUAUUUUAAUAAUAUUAUAUUUUCAUGCUUUUAGUGAAGAAUUGUUUUACUAUCAGUCAUAUUUUAAAACGGGCAGUUUCGAAAUAACCAAAGAAAACAACGAUUCUAAACCGGAACGUGCCUGAAGGAAUCAACUGUAGUUCUCUUUUAUAGCGGUUUAAAAUGUAUCUAAAAGUGUUUGCAAUAAUUUAAUCUCAGACGUAGAAAUAUAACCAAGAUUCACGACGACCAUUGUAUUGAUAGAGCAGUUGUUUAAAUAAAAGAGCAGCGUCAGUUUUGGAAAUAUCACAUUUUAUAUUUGUGUCAGUUUUUAGUUAAGUAAAUUGGAAAAUUACAAGCGGUGUGUAUUUCAGUAUGCUAACGUGACGUUUUUCAGCAGGUUUCAUUUGAUUUUAUGAAGCAGAAUUAGUUAAAACUGAAUUCAGCCCCUUGACAGCAGUUCUAGUAAAUGUCCACACGAGGGGAGCAUAGGAUAGGAAAUGAAAGCUAAAGCCUCGUCUGUCUCCCUGAAGUUCGCUACCAAUUGUAAAGAGCAGAGGACAGCUCAGCCGGAGGCGUGUGUCUGUGUGAAACGACUUUAUUUCAUGUGAUAAGUUUGUGGAAGAAGGACGCCAUGUGAGGAGGCGUUUGCUAUUGUUUUACACAGACUACGAGGGACAGCGCUCGUUAAACCAGGUCUGUGAGGAUGAGAAGGUCUCCACAGUCUGGAGUCUGAUCUCUGAGAGCCUCAACAUACCUGUCAAUCAACAGGGACUCCUCUACAAAGGCAAGGCGCUGGCAGGUAGGCUGAACAGCACAGCACAGCACAGCUCACCCCUCGCCUCACCCUGGGUCAGUGUGGCACAGCCUGCCUGCUCUUCUGAACAAACACUUCAGCCCUGCCGACGCAGUGAGAGUCUGGAGCAGCAACACAAGGAUUACGAGCGGAGGCUGCGCUUGUUGAGCCUGGAUGAUAUGGAGCGGCUGGCGACCUGCAUGCUUCACCCUGAGGCUGUGGAGUGCAUGGAGCUGUCCUUCCUGGACUGAGGAAUACUGCUGCUGCCCUCUCCACCUCUCCCCUCUCUGCUCUCCUCUCUCCUCUGUCCUCCCCCUCUCCUCUCCUCUCCUUACUUUGUUUAAAAGAAUAGAAGCACACCCAGUGAGCAAGGCAUUGAGCAGCCCCACAUCCCGCUUCACAAUACCGCUACAUAUUGACUGACUGUUCGCAUUGUGUGUGUUUGGUAAGACAAACCACAUUUUCUACUUCUACUUUCUACGAUUGGGCAAGUCAGCGGUUGUUUGAUAACAGAACAUAAAACAUCACAGAGUGGGUUGAACUGCAUUGCUGCAAAUCAAGGCCCUUUAAAAUGUGUACCUUCCCAGCUCAGGUAUUGCGGAGGUAAAGAGACACUUCCUACAGGAGGACAGGACGUUGUCAAGGAGGGGAUGUCGUCACGUGUCCUGAGGGCUUUCUUAAAAACAUUGUUUUAUUAUUUCUAAGCGUACGUUGUUACUGCCUUUUAGCUCUUGAGCAUAAUAAUCUCAAUCCCGUUUGAAAUUACAGUAAGUGCAUUUGCAUGGUGCAGAUGAGGGAUGUCGCUUCACUCGAGACUUGUGUACUGAUGAAGAUGUAGUUUCAGUGUUUAAUGCUCAUCCCCUCACUGUGUGUCUGUAUGUUCUUGUCUCUUGACAGGUCUGUGAGGAUGAGAAGGUCUCCACAGUCUGGAGUCUGGUCUCUGACAGGCUCAACAUACCUGUCAAUCAACAGGGACUCCUCUACAAAGGCAAGGCGCUGGCAGAUGAGCACAGACUGUCACACGACUCCAUCGCUCCCGAUUCCAAGCUGAACUCGUUGUGACGCCCCCAACAGAGAAAGUGUCACCCGAGCAAGAACAGCACUCCGUGUCACCCCUCCUCUCAGACCUCACCCCUCACCCUCGCCUCACCCCUCCUGUCACACCUCACCCUUCGCCACACCCCUACUCUCACACCUCACCCCUCCUCUCACCCCUCGCCACACCCCUCCUCUCACACCUCACCCCUCCUCUCACCCCUCGCCUAACCCCUCCUCUCACGCCUCGCCUCACCCCGGGUCAGUGUGGCACAGCCUGCCUGCUCUUCUGAACAAACACUUCAGCCCUGCCGACGCAGUGAGAGUCUGGAGCAGCAACACAAGGAUUACGAGCGGAGGCUGUGCUUGUUGAGCCUGGAUGAUAUGGAGCGGCUGGCGACUCGCAUGCUUCACCCUGAGGCUGUGGAGUGCAUGGAGCUGUCCUUCCUAGACUGAGGAAUACUGCUGCUGCCCUCUCCACCUCUCCCCUCUCUUCUCCCCUCUCCCCUCUCUCCUCUCCUCUUUACUCUCUCCUCCCCCUCUCCUCUCCUCUCCUUACUUUGUUUAAAAGAAUAGAAGCACACCCAGUGAGCAAGGCAUUGAGCAGCCCCACAUCCCGCUUCACGAUACCGCUACAUAUUGACUGACUGUUCGCAUUGUGUGUGUUUGGUAAGACAAACCACAUUUUCUACUUUCUGCUAUUUUAAAAGGAGCCCAGUUUGGUGCAGGAGGCUUGUGGGUAACAGAGUGUGUUUUUGCUGGGGACUGCAGCCCUUCCAUUACCAUUGCUCGUAGAGGGGAGAUUGUUUUACUUUCAAGCCUUUUUCUUUAAUAAAUCCGGACGUUUGGAAAUACA